CACGUAGGGUGCGAGCGUUGUCCGGAAUUAUUGGGCGUAAAGAGCUCGUAGGCGGUGUGUCGCGUCGGCCGUGAAAACCUGGGGCUUAACUCUGGGCUUGCGGUCGAUACGGGCAUCACUGGAGUUCGGCAGGGGAGACUGGAAUUCCUGGUGUAGCGGUGAAAUGCGCAGAUAUCAGGAGGAACACCCGUGGCGAAAGCGGCUCCCUGGAACGGUACUGACGCUGAGACGCGAAAGCGUGGGGAGCGAACAGG
rnacentral:rRNA from 1 species